UUUUUAAAUGGGAUCUUGUAUGAAUGGUUGAACAAAAGGAAAGCUGUCUUGGGAUUAGGGUUUGAAUUUAACUUUUAAGUGAGAAGGCUUAAAUAUUUUAGAGGGACGAUAAGACCCUAUAAAGCUUUACAUUUGAAUUAUGUUUAGUUGAAUUUAAUAAUAAAUAAGGACUUAAUGUAAUUAAUUGUUGUGUUGGGGAGACAAAGGUAAAAUUAAUAUUAACUGCCUAUAAAAUUAACAAUUUAUGGUUGUAUAAAAGUAUAAUAGAUCCUGUGAAAAAUAUGGAAAAAAGAUUAAGUUACUUUAGGGAUAACAGUGUAAUUUUUUUUGAGAGCUCUNAUCGNAAAAAANG
rnacentral:rRNA from 1 species